ACGAAGGUCCCGAGCGUUGUUCGGAUUUACUGGGCGUAAAGAGUCUGUAGGCGGUAAAGUAAGUCAGGUGUGAAAUCCCAGGGCUCAACCCUGGAACUGCAUUUGAUACUGCUUUGCUAGAGUAUUGGAGGGGAAUCUGGAAUUCUCGGUGUAGCAGUGAAAUGCGUAGAUAUCGAGAGGAACACUAGUGGCGAAGGCGAGAUUCUGGACAAUUACUGACGCUGAGAGACGAAGGCCAGGGGAGCAAAAAGGAUUAGAUACCCUUGUAGUCCUGGCAGUAAACGGUGCACGCUUGGUGUGGGAGGAAUCGACCCCUUCUGUGCCGGAGCUAACGCGUUAAGCGUGCCGCCUGGGGAGUACGGUCGCAAGAUUA
rnacentral:rRNA from 1 species